GCGUAGAGACGCGUCACUGAGGCCAAAAUAGUAAUGUUUUGAAUUAUGUCCCAAAGUUGGACACCGCUGGCAGCGUUGUCUUCAAACUUAUCCUUGAUUCCAUUUUGACACAGGUACGACUUUUAAAAUAAUCGGGUACGACUUGAAAACCCCGUCUUUCGACAGAGUAUGCGGCAAUAGACGAAAUAAGCACCCUCUUUGCAAGCAUUUGACUCAUCCCUUUCAAGCAACAGUUGCCUCGCAAGUGUCCAGAAAACCCCAAGCACGUCCAGAUUCGAUCGCGUUGCUGGACGCACAAGAGAUUUACUAACAUACUUUACCUUGAAGCACGACAGCGUUAAGUGCCACGGUGUAAAGGUCAAUUUUCCCGUUUGUUUAAAGGAGCUUCUCCAAUGCGUCAUCAAGGAAGCUCUUUGAACAUCACACGCAAGCGGGCAAGCGGGAGUAACUUUCCUUGAAAUAGCUGGAAGUAUAGAAAAAUUUGGGAGUUUUGGCAAAGGUCAACAAACUACCCUGACGAUUUGAUGUCAAACGAGGAACCAGUUAAAAAUCUUUUCCUGCCAGAAUGCAAAUAGAGGCCAUGACAAUCAACUGAUAACAUCCUCUUCUAGGCAAUGUAUGUUUUAUUUACUGUAAGUGUUACGGAAAGCAGAGUAACAUCCAUUCUCAUAUCAGUAAAGGUAACUUGUGGAUUAUAUCUAUUACACUUGAGUCGUAAGUAGGUGAGAAAAAUCCUUCGAUACCAAUAUUCUGGUAUUUAAUUACUAAGCACUAUUCAGAAUAUUUACUGCAAUAAAUCUGGCUACAAUUUGUGUAGUAGCCAGGCUUUAUUUAGAUAAGUAUAUAUAUGAAGCUAAAAAUUAAAUAGAAUAUUGAAAUUUAUAUACUAUAACUAAUGUGAUAACGUCCCCUCAAUUCAUUUCAUUUGAUAUUAAUGUCUACAGAACACUCGCAAUCAUGAGUGACAGUAACGGGUUUUUUCUAAAUGUGUGAUUUGUAUAACUAUUUUGUAAAGCAGAAGUUCCUUAUAAUUUUAUAAUAAUUUUGUAGAGUAGAACUUCCUAAUAAUUUUUUUUCCAAGUUAUUAUAGAAAACACACUUUACAUCAUUGGAAACUUCACAUUUCACAUACCAAGUCAGUUUCUGUGGAAAAAGUUUUGCACUUCAGGGUAAUGGAAAUGAAAACAGGAAUUCCCACAACAAUAGCCACGGUAAUAAUAAUAAUAAUAAUAAGGAUGAUGAUAAUAAUAAUGAUAAUAAGGAUGAUGAUAAUAAUAAUAAUAAUAAUAAUAAUAAUAAUAAUAAUAAUAAUAAAAAAUACACCUAGUUCACCAUUUUCACGCAAUGAUAAGAAUAGUCUACCAGAUUGAAAGUUGACGGAGUUUAGUUGAUUUCAUAUAUGUUGAGUUGUUACUUAACGAAUUGACUUCAAAUGAUUUAACAUAACUUACUGAAGUAAUUCUGUAUUGCUGUACUAUUUCACUUAUAAAUUAUAAAUAUUUGGUAAGAGAACAUAAUCCCCCUAGCAUCUAGUAAUAUUAACAGAGGCACCAAUAAACAAGGCUGUUGGUGAAAAAAAAAAAAAAAAAAAAAAUCAUACUGUACAUGAAUACAAAAAAAUAAAGUUGUAC
rnacentral:lncRNA from 1 species